rfam:Gregarina niphandrodes unplaced genomic scaffold scaffold00005, whole genome shotgun sequence.
GGGUUGGUGGCGCAGUAGGUAGCGCGUAGGUCUCAUAAUCCUGAAGUCGAGAGUUCGAUCCUCUCCUAACCCA